AGAGUUUGAUCCUGGCUCAGGAUGAACGCUGGCGGCGUGCAUAACACAUUCAAGUCGAACGGGGUAAAGUGCUUCGGUACUUUACCAAGUGGCGGACGGGUGAGUAACGCGUGAGCAACCUGCCCCUAUGUUCGGGAUACCAACCGGAAACAGUUGUUAAUACCGAAUGACAUAACGGGAUUGCAUGGUCCUGUUAUCAAAGAUUUAUUGCAUAGGGAUGGGCUCGCGUCUGAUUAGGCAGUUGGUGAGGUAACGGCUCACCAAACCGACGAUCAGUAGCCGGACUGAGAGGUUGAACGGCCACAUUGGAACUGAGAUACGGUCCAGACUCCUACGGGAGGCAGCAGUGGGGAAUAUUGGGCAAUGGGCGAAAGCCUGACCCAGCGACGCCGCGUGAAGGAAGAAGGUCUUCGGAUUGUAAACUUCUUUUAUUGGGGACGAUAAUGACGGUACCCAAUGAAUAAGCCACGGCUAACUACGUGCCAGCAGCCGCGGUAAUACGUAGGUGGCGAGCGUUAUCCGGAUUUACUGGGUGUAAAGGGUGUGCAGGCGGGACUGCAAGUCAGAAGUGAAAAUCAUGGGCUCAACUCAUGACCUGCUUUUGAAACUGUGGUUCUUGAGGGUCGGAGAGGUUACUGGAAUUCCCGGUGUAGCGGUGAAAUGCGUAGAUAUCGGGAGGAAUACCGGUGGCGAAGGCGAGUAACUGGACGAAACCUGACGCUGAGACACGAAAGUGCGGGGAGCAAACAGGAUUAGAUACCCUGGUAGUCCGCACCGUAAACGAUGAAUGCUAGGUGUAGGGGCGCAAGCCUCUGUGCCGCAGUCAACACAAUAAGCAUUCCACCUGGGGAGUACGGCCGCAAGGUUGAAACUCAAAGGAAUUGACGGGAGCCCGCACAAGCAGUGGAGUAUGUGGUUUAAUUCGACGCAACGCGAAGAACCUUACCAGGACUUGACAUCCCCUGACUAUCGUCUAAUAGCGAGUCUCCCCUUCGGGGGACAGGGUGACAGGUGGUGCAUGGUUGUCGCCAGCUCGUGUCGUGAGAUGUUGGGUUAAGUCCCGCAACGAGCGCAACCCUUAUGGUCAGUUACUACGCAAGAGGACUCUGGCCAGACUGCCGUUGACAAAACGGAGGAAGGUGGGGAUGACGUCAAAUCAUCAUGCCCUUUAUGACUUGGGCUACACACGUACUACAAUGGCGUUAAACAAAGAGAAGCAAGACCGCGAGGUGGAGCAAAACUCAGAAACAACGUCCCAGUUCGGACUGCAGGCUGCAACUCGCCUGCACGAAGUCGGAAUUGCUAGUAAUCGUGGAUCAGCAUGCCACGGUGAAUACGUUCCCGGGCCUUGUACACACCGCCCGUCACACCAUGAGAGCCGAGGGGACCCGAAGUCGGUAGUCUAACCGCAAGGAGGACGCCGCCGAAGGUAAAACUGGUGAUUGGGGUGAAGUCGUAACAAGGUA
rnacentral:rRNA from 1 species